GAUGAACGCUAGCGGCAGGCCUAACACAUGCAAGUCGAGGGAGAAGCCCUUUCGGGGGCAGAAACCGGCGCACGGGUGCGUAACGCGUAUGCAACCUACCUUUCACAGGGGGAUAGCCCGAAGAAAUUUGGAUUAAUACCCCAUAAUAUUAUUGGAUGGCAUCAUUUGAUAAUUAAAACUGCGGUGGUGAAAGAUGGGCAUGCGUCCUAUUAGCUAGUUGGAGCGGUAACGGCACCCCAAGGCUACGAUAGGUAGGGGUCCUGAGAGGGAGAUCCCCCACACUGGUACUGAGACAGGGACCAGACUCCUACGGGAGGCAGCAGUGAGGAAUAUUGGUCAAUGGUCGGAAGACUGAACCAGCCAUGCCGCGUGCAGGAAGAAUGCCUUAUGGGUUGUAAACUGCUUUUAUAUGGGAAGAAUAAGGCGUACGUGUACGUUGAUGACGGUACCAUAUGAAUAAGCAUCGGCUAACUCCGUG
rnacentral:rRNA from 1 species